AAAUCACAAUAUAAGACCAGCCCACUAGUAAGGGACUUGUGAGCAAUCUGCAAUUACACAAUCGAGGUUACCCAAAUCUUGAUUCCAAUCCCUUCUUAACAAGUGACAAAACAUUCGAUCAGGUAUGAAGGUGCGAUCAUCGGUGAAGAAAAUGUGUGCUUUCUGCCGCACAAUCAGGCGACACGGGGUAGUAUAUGUGAUAUGCUCAGCUAAUCCCAAGCACAAGCAGCGACAGGGCUUUAUAGCAUAUGCAUACGAGGGACCUAUAUCCACCAUGUCUCUGGUGAUAACUCCAAAACAGGAGAAGACGCCUCUUGGCUUUGGUAUCAGCAGCUCCUUGCCUUCUCUUAUAUCCGAAAACGGUGAGGCAUCUAUGAAUCCAUGGCGGAGAAAGGGUAUGGCUCCCGUUAAUCUGCUCAACCCAGCCGCUAAGCACUCGAUUCUGCGAGCAUUAUAAGCUCAUGAACUCUGCUCCAUCAUCACACACAAAGAUGCCAUAUAUUUUGCAUUGUCUGAGAGCAGCAGUUGUAACUUACCAACUGGAAACAUCAUGUUUAACACUUUUGUUUUGUGUGAUAUGUUGGAAUCAUGAUCUGUUAUUCAUUGCAGAUUUGCAGCUGAAAAUAUAAUUCAUGUAUUUGUGGCUAACAAUCAUGUGAAUUGAAUGAGAAAUUUUUCAUAUUGCCCGAACGGGCUUA